CCCCCACUUCAGAUCCCCUGGAGCCCCAGCCCGGAGAAAAGGAGAGAGUGCGUCUUCAAGAAGAAAAGCAACGAGACCGAGUGCUUCAACUUCAUCCGCAUCCUGGUUCAGCUGAACAAGACCCACCUUUACACCUGUGGCACCUACGCCUUCAGCCCCACCUGCGCCUACAUCGACGUGGAGAAUUUCACGCUGGUGGCCGAUGCCAAAGGGCAGCCCCUCCUGCAGGAAGGCAAAGGGCUCUGCCCCUUCGACCCGCGGCACCAGAACACGGCGCUCAUUGUGGGUGAGCAGAGACGGGCACC